GGAUCCAGACUUUGAUCCUGGCUCAGGAUGAACGCUAGCUACAGGCUUAACACAUGCAAGUCGAGGGGCAGCAUUUUAGUUUGCUUGCGAACUGAAGAUGGCGACCGACGCACGGGUGAGUAACACGUAUCCAACCUGCCGAUAACUCCGGAAUAGCCUUUCGAAAGAAAGAUUAAUACCGGAUAGCAUACGAAUAUCGCAUGAUAUUUUUAUUAAAGAAUUUCGGUUAUCGAUGGGGAUGCGUUCCAUUAGUUUGUUGGCGGGGUAACGGCCCACCAAGACUACGAUGGAUAGGGGUUCUGAGAGGAAGGUCCCCCACAUUGGAACUGAGACACGGUCCAAACUCCUACGGGAGGCAGCAGUGAGGAAUAUUGGUCAAUGGGCGAGAGCCUGAACCAGCCAAGUAGCGUGAAGGAUGAAGGCUCUAUGGGUCGUAAACUUCUUUUAUAUGGGACUAAAGUUUUCCACGUGUGGAAUUUUGUAUGUACCAUAUGAAUAAGGAUCGGCUAACUCCGUGCCAGCAGCCGCGGUAAUACGGAGGAUCCGAGCGUUAUCCGGAUUUAUUGGGUUUAAAGGGAGCGUAGGUGGAUUGUUAAGUCAGUUGUGAAAGUUUGCGGCUCAACCGUAAAAUUGCAGUUGAAACUGGGAGUCUUGAGUACAGUAGAGGUGGGCGGAAUUCGUGGUGUAGCGGUGAAAUGCUUAGAUAUCACGAAGAACUCCGAUUGCGAAGGCAGCUCACUAGACUGUCACUGACACUGAUGCUCGAAAGUGUGGGUAUCAAACAGGAUUAGAUACCCUGGUAGUCCACACAGUAAACGAUGAAUACUCGCUGUUUGCGAUAUACAGUAAGCGGCCAAGCGAAAGCAUUAAGUAUUCCACCUGGGGAGUACGAAGG
rnacentral:rRNA from 1 species